rnacentral:rRNA from 1 species
GACGAACGCUGGCGGCGUGCUUAACACAUGCAAGUCGAGCGGUAAGGCCCUUUCGGGGGUACGACGAGCGGCGAACGGGUGAGUAACACGUGGGUGACCUGCCUCAGCUCUGGGAUAAGCCUGGGAAACUGGGUCUAAUACCGGAUAUGACUCCAUGACGCAUGUUGUGGGGUGGAAAGCCUUGUGCGGCUGAGGAUGGGCCCGCGGCCUAUCAGCUUGUUGGUGGGGUGAUGGCCUACCAAGGCGACGACGGGUAGCCGGCCUGAGAGGGCGACCGGCCACACUGGGACUGAGACACGGCCCAGACUCCUACGGGAGGCAGCAGUGGGGAAUCUUGCGCAAUGGGCGAAAGCCUGACGCAGCGACGCCGCGUGAGGGAUGACGGCCU